ensembl:lncRNA
GUUGCCGUCCGCCCAGGCCGGGGCGUUUGUUUGUUAAUUGCGGCGCUGUUGCGCUUCGCGCUCGCGUGGAGCUCCCGCUGCGGCCGUAAUGACUGCGAGCGCGGGAACGCGCCGCGCUGGGGCCGGAGGAGCGGAGCGGGGCGGGAGGGAAAGGGCCGCCCGAAGUUCGCUGCCUCUGCCGACGGGAUCCUCCGCCGCCCCUUUCUCCUCCCCAUGUAAAUAGACGAGCAGGUCUCCCGUCGAGGAGGAAAUGGGCAAUAACGACGCGAUAAACGUGUUCGCUGUGUAAUCAUUGCGUGAGAGAAGAGAUGCAGUGUGAAGAUGCUGAGCGUCCUGAAGCUGUUCAGUAACAAAGCAGGAACUAUGGAACUUCGUAGCAGUUUAAAAAUGAUGACGUACCCAAAUUUCCUUGGAAGACUGUGAUAAUUUCUCUAAUUGUCUUUCAGAUAUAUAAAACAGCGCAGCCGUGGGGAGGGCGCUCUGCUUUAUGUGACUGAAAAGCAGCCUGGAUAGCUUACAGCUGUGGAGUCACAGCCGUUGUGUGCUCCUCCAGCAGAGGCUUCACUGAAGUCACUGGAAGCACUGAGAUGAAGGAACCAGGGCUCAGGUCUUAAAAAUGGGCUGUGUGUUUUUUUCCAGAAAAUACAACAGCUGCUUUUCCUGAAAAACUGUGCUUUGCUGUAGCCGUACAGAUUACUUGAGAACACUUUGUAGUGGUUUCCAAACAGACGUCCAGUCAUCACACCAUGCAGAAAUAGAAAACCCGCAGAUGAAGGCAAAAGUGUUACAGAUGCUGCAACUCUUUGCAAACCUGUAGAUUUGGCAACAAGUAGUUAAUGCUUGGGCAAGUCUUUGUUGCCACAAAUGUUGGUGCCACUUCAGUUCAAACAUCCUGGCUAUUGCUUGUCAUUGGAUUCUCUAAGCCUAAUUUCUGUCUGCUUUUAAGGCUUUGCUCAUUUGAUUGCAUAGGUCACAUCAAACCAAAUAAUGGCAACUACAGAGCUUUUAGUUUGAAAGGCCACAAAGCUUCAUCCAGAGACUGUUUCUGCAGUGAUUACCUACAGGACAUGGGAUUUUGCAUGGACAGCAUGGGAUUUUGCAUGGGCAGCAUGUUGAACGACACCAUGAAAUGAGAAAGUAGAGCUUUGUGAGAACAGAGUAAAGGGCAAGUAGAGGAAAGAAUAUCUUUGCAGUUCAGACUUUUUUCCCACGUGCCACGUGUGGUCCCAAACUGAGCAGUGUGAUGAGCAGUCCAAGUAUGGGAAGGAAUGCAUUGAUAUGCACUUCUGGAAGUCAGCAAAGCAGGCAUUAUGAGUAAAAAUCCAGCUCUAUAAACUUGCAAAGAAAAAAACAGGGAUUGGAGAGUACAAGGUGCAGUGAGCAGGCGACAGAGAAGGAGAAGAAACUGCUGGAAGAUUGCUUUGCUGUCCCUUUACUACAAAGGAGGAUGACAAAGUGAUUGAUCAGUGCUGUGUUCUGAGGACUGCUCCAGCAGUGCAGCAGUGAAGCUGCAGGUUGUGGCUGGAGGAUUUUCUGCAGAAAAGAAGCAUAGGCCUUGAUUAGACUCCUUCCUGAGGCUGCUUUGGAUGUGUUGGCUUAGCGAGAAGCAGCAUGAACAGCAGAAUCAGCAUAGGAAGUUAGUGGCAGCCGCAGUUUAGCAUGAGGACAACAUAAGGUAAAGGUGUAUCAAAAGGUUUACCUUUAUUCCCGCACACCAUGCAGUCAGGGAUUGGGCUGCAAUGUCCGUGUUGUUUUAUAAUGCCUCAUUUCCCUUUGGUGAAACAACAGAGGAGGAAGGAAUGCAAGAAAACAUGGUUUGUGAGGAUUAUAAAUGAAAUUAAACGUUCUGAGGGCAAUCCUUUUGUUUUGUUUUGUUUUGUUUUCCAUAGUAAUGGUUUUCAAUUUUGCCUAUUAUGUAGCAAGCUUUACUUACUUUCCACCUGUG